GACGUAGGGGGCCAGCGUUGUUCGGAAUUACUGGGUGUAAAGGGUUCGUAGGCGGUGCGGCAAGUCGGGAGUGAAAUCUCUGGGCUUAACCCAGAGGCUGCUUCCAAAACUGCUGUGCUUGAGUGUGGGAGAGGCGCGUGGAAUUGCAGGUGUAGCGGUGAAAUGCGUAGAUAUCUGCAGGAACACCCGUGGCGAAAGCGGCGCGCUGGACCACUACUGACGCUGAGGAACGAAAGCUAGGGGAGCAAACAGG
rnacentral:rRNA from 1 species